AGUGAACGCUGGCGGUAGGCCUAACACAUGCAAGUCGAACGGCAGCACAGUAAGAGCUUGCUCUUACGGGUGGCGAGUGGCGGACGGGUGAGGAAUACAUCGGAAUCUACUUUUUCGUGGGGGAUAACGUAGGGAAACUUACGCUAAUACUGCAUACGACCUACGGGUGAAAGCAGGGGAUCUUCGGACCUUGCGCGAUUGAAUGAGCCGAUGUCGGAUUAGCUAGUUGGCGGGGUAAAGGCCCACCAAGGCGACGAUCCGUAGCUGGUCUGAGAGGAUGAUCAGCCACACUGGAACUGAGACACGGUCCAGACUCCUACGGGAGGCAGCAGUGGGGAAUAUUGGACAAAGGGCGCAAGCCUGAUCCAGCCAUACCGCGUGGGUGAAGAAGGCCUUCGGGUUGUAAAGCCCUUUUGUUGGGAAAGAAAAGCAGCAGGUUAAUACCCCGCUGUUCUGACGGUACCCAAAGAAUAAGCACCGGCUAACUUCGUG
rnacentral:rRNA from 1 species